rnacentral:rRNA from 1 species
ACGUACACUCCUGCGGGAGGCAGCAGUGGGGAAUAUUGGACAAUGGGCGCAAGCCUGAUCCAGCCAUGCCGCGUGAGUGAUGAAGGCCCUAGGGUUGUAAAGCUCUUUUGUGCGGGAAGAUAAUGACGGUACCGCAAGAAUAAGCCCCGGCUAACUUCGUGCCAGCAGCCGCGGUAAUACGAAGGGGGCUAGCGUUGCUCGGAAUCACUGGGCGUAAAGGGUGCGUAGGCGGGUCUUUAAGUCAGGGGUGAAAUCCUGGAGCUCAACUCCAGAACUGCCUUUGAUACUGAAGAUCUUGAGUGCGGGAGAGGUGAGUGGAACUGCGAGUGUAGAGGUGAAAUUCGUAGAUAUUCGCAAGAACACCAGUGGCGAAGGCGGCUCACUGGCCCGAUACUGACGCUGAGGCACGAAAGCGUGGGGAGCAAACAGGAUUAGAAACCCUAGUAGUCCCAUGA